rnacentral:rRNA from 1 species
ACGCACGCUGGCGGCAUGCCUAACACAUGCAGGUCGCACGAGACCUUCGGGUCUAGUGGCGCACGGGUGCGUAACGCGUGGGAACCUGCCCUUAGGUUCGGAAUAACUCCCCGAAAGGGGUGCUAAUACCGGAUAAUGUCUUCGGACCAAAGAUUUAUCGCCUUUGGAUGGGCCCGCGUUGGAUUAGCUAGUUGGUAGGGUAAAAGCCUACCAAGGCGACGAUCCAUAGCUGGUCUGAGAGGAUGAUCAGCCACACUGGGACUGAGACACGGCCCAGACUCCUACGGGAGGCAGCAGUGGGGAAUAUUGGACAAUGGGCGAAAGCCUGAUCCAGCAAUGCCGCGUGAGUGAUGAAGGCCUUAGGGUUGUAAAGCUCUUUUACCCGGGAUGAUAAUGACAGUACCGGGAGAAUAAGCUCCGGCUAACUCCGUG